UCCCCAACUGUCACACCCCUCCCUCCUCCUCACUCCCUCGCCACACCGUCGCACCAUCUCCCUCCUCCCUCAUCAUCAGCCACAGCACUAGGAGAUUUGCCGCCGACGAGAUCCAGCGCCUGGCAAGGUCCUCGGGUCGGCUGUCGCGCCCGCCACACUGUCGACCAGAUCUGCGCCCUUGACUCCCUCUUCUCUCGCGUCGCGCGGUGCCUCUGCUCCACCAUGCCGCGGUUACCUCGUGGAUGACGGGGCCAUGGACCUGUCCUUGAAGGAGAGAAGGAAUAUGACGGAGAGAGAACAGAGAAGGAAGGAGAGGCAGGAGAAGGAGAGAGGAAAGAGGAGAGGGAGGUGCAGCGGCAGAUGUGAGAUGGUCAUCGGCCGACAUUAGUCAUUCAUCCAUUCGCAUCUCUCCUCCUCUCCUGCUCUCGACCACCAAUGUGCCCCCUCCUCCUUCCCUUCUCUUCUCACAAUCUCCUCUUGUUUGGAGCUAGCUGAGUGAUCCACGGCGAGGAAGAUGGGGAAGACAGAGCCAACACCGCCGAUGCCCACGGGCCACUUCAGUCAGGUGCCUUCCAUACUUCCUCCUUCAGGAUUUCCAAUCCAAGCAGAGCAUAAAAUGGAGCCAGCAACAGGGAUGAUGGGAGAAACAAUGGUGGCUGAAUAGUGGACACCCGAAGCUGGCUGAGAAAGAGGGAGGCAGUGCGUGGCGGAAGAGGGCGUCCAUGUGGUAUCUGUUUCUGGUCAUCUUUAGCUUCCAGAUUCUGAACAGGGAGUAGCACAAGCAAUUAUGUGCUCUGUGGUAGAUUUCAAAAGAGACCCAAGGCCCGGAGUAUCUGAGCCUGCUGAAGACUUUGUUCGACAAAUGCUGGAUCCAGAUCCAAUCACACGGUUUACUACAACACACGUACUCGGCGAGCAUUAGUGAUGUUACCUUUCCCAUUGUGUAAUAGCAUACAAAAUGUUUUCUCUCUCUCAUAAUGGUGAAUUCAAUCUUACAUUGGGGUAUGUAUUUUUUAUGCCAUAGCCAUGACCAAUUGAUAAUUAUCUUGCAGGUUUUUAAUAAUUGCAUCAAAUGAUUUCACUAUUUAUUUUGUGGCAUUGUUGAUUGCAUCAGUAGAACAUCCAUGGUUACAUGAUUCUAAAAAGAAUCCUGACAUUUCUCAAUAUAAUAGGUGGUGUCUGUCGGUAGGGUCUCCCUAAACACGCGUCAUCAAAUCCAACUACAAGCUACACGACAAGCUAUGAUUGAAUACCAUGUACAAGUAUGGGGACAGAAUAGUAAACAGCAAAUAAAGGAUACUAGACGGAGAUACUGGACGGACGCAUGGAGCAUGAACUCCUCUUUUUCAGGGGCCACCUUACUUGUGUGCCCUCAGGCCGAGGAGACCUUUCUAAGAUUGGAGAUGCGAACACUAGCUGUUUGUAAAUGCACAAGGAGGAGUGCUUAGGGGAGGACGAUAGCUUUCAGUGUACAUGGAGGAUGUGAAAGCAACGACAGAGGAGCUCGCUGUAGCUGCUCGCCUACUCCGGGAAUCGUCCCUCUUGACAGAAGCAAGCACGAUGCCAUGUCCUAGAGUCUACUUGUUUUAGGUAGCAUUGCUUUCUGGAAUACAUCAUUGGAACCUGGUAACAUUCACUGCUUACAGUCAGCAAGACAAGAAGAACAUGAUUGUGUGUUAUUAAUAUGGUGAGUGAUUGAAGAGGAGGCAUGAGGAGAAGAGCAGUCCAAUGGGCGGGUGGAGCAUGUGACUUGUUGAUGUUAGUUUUCAUUUCCGGGAAGAAUAAAUUUUCUAUGAUUUGAGUGUAUGCUGAUGUGUGAAAGUCAAUCAUUUGGAUCCCCAACUAGACUAUUGUGUGUGUUCAAUAUUUUAUUGUGCAUUGAUAAAAUGUUUAAGUGCCAGUGUGCACAAGUUGAAUUUUGAAACAGAUGAGAGGAAAACUCUGCAUAAAGCUUUCUUC